rnacentral:rRNA from 1 species
GACGAACGCUGGCGGCGUGCCUAAUACAUGCAAGUUGAGCGCUGAAGGUUGGUACUUGUACCGACUGGAUGAGCAGCGAACGGGUGAGUAACGCGUGGGUAAUCUGCCUUGGAGCGGGGGACAACAUUUGGAAACGAAUGCUAAUACCGCAUAAAAACUUUAAACACAAGUUUUAAGUUUGAAAGAUGCAAUUGCAUCACUCAAAGAUGAUCCCGCGUUGUAUUAGCUAGUUGGUGAGGUAAAGGCUCACCAAGGCGAUGAUACAUAGCCGACCUGAGAGGGUGAUCGGCCACAAUGGGACUGAGACACGGCCCAAACUCCUACGGGAGGCAGCAGUAGGGAAUCUUCGGCAAUGGACGAAAGUCUGACCGAGCAACGCCGCGGGAGUGAAGAAGGUUUUCGGAUCGUAAAACUCUGUUGGUAGAGAAGAACGUUGGUGAGAGUGGAAAGCUCAUCAAGUGACGGUAACUACCCAGAAAGGGACGGCUAACUACGUG